rnacentral:rRNA from 1 species
GACGAACCGUCCUAACGUGUUCGGAAUCAUCUGGGCGUUAAAGGGCGCGUGAGGCGGGUUCCCAAGUCGGUGGAUGAAAUCGUUUCGGCCCCAACCGGAAAACAGCCGCCGAUACUGGGAGUCUUGAGGGAGGUAGGGUGCGAUGGAACUUCGGUGGAGCGGUGAAAUGACGUAGAUAUCGGAAGGAACGCCGGUGGCGAAAGCGAUCGACUGGACCUUUCUG